rnacentral:rRNA from 1 species
UGUCGUCAGCUCGUGUCGUGAGAUGUUGGGUUAAGUCCCGCAACGAGUGCAACCCUUGCUAUUAGUUGCUAACAUUUCGGAUGAGCACUCUAAUGGGACUGCCCGUGACAAGCGGGAGGAAGGUGGGGAUGACGUCAAAUCAUCAUGCCCUUUAUGAUCUGGGCUACACACGUGCUACAAUGGAUGGUACAGAGAGCAGCGAGACUGCGAAGUGGAGCGAAUCUCAAAAAGCCAUUCUCAGUUCGGAUUGUAGUCUGCAACUCGACUACAUGAAGUCGGAAUCGCUAGUAAUCGCGAAUCAGCAUGUCGCGGUGAAUACGUUCCCGGGA